CUACGGGUGGCUGCAGUGAGGAAUAUUGCACAAUGGGGGGAACCCUGAUGCAGCAACGCCGCGUGGAGGAUGACGCAUUUCGGUGUGUAAACUCCUUUUAUAUGUCAAGAAAAUGACGGUAGCAUAUGAAUAAGCGCCGGCUAACUCUGUGCCAGCAGCCGCGGUAAUACGGAGGGCGCAAGCGUUACUCGGAAUCACUGGGCGUAAAGGACGCGUAGGCGGGUUGAAAAGUCAGGUGUGAAAGCCUACAGCUUAACUGUAGAACUGCACUUGAAACUCUCAAUCUAGAGUAUGGGAGGGGCAGAUGGAAUUAGUGGUGUAGGGGUAAAAUCCGUAGAUAUCACUAGGAAUACCUAAAGCGAAGGCGAUCUGCUGGAACAUUACUGACGCUAAGGCGUGAAAGCGUGGGGAGUAAACAGGAUUAGAUACCCCGGUAGUC
rnacentral:rRNA from 1 species